AUCUGGGCACUGUCUCAACGAGAGACUCGGUGAAAUUAUAGUACCUGUGAAGAUGCAGGUUACCCGCGACAGGACGGAAAGACCCCGUGGAGCUUUACUGCAACCUGAUAUGGAAUGUUUGUACCGCUUGUACAGGAUAGGUAGGAGCCGAAGAGACGUGUGCGCUAGCAUACGAGGAGGCAAUGGUGGGAUACUACCCUGGCUGUAUGACCAUUCUAACCCGCCACGCUUAGCGCGUGGGGAGACAGUGUCAGGUGGGCAGUUUGACUGGGGCGGUCGCCUCCUAAAGAGUAACGGAGGCGCCCAAAGGUUCCCGCAGAAUGGAUGGAAAUCAUUCGCAGAGUGUAAAGGCACAAGGGAGCUUGACUGCGAGACUGACAAGUCGAGCAGGGACGAAAGUCGGGCUUAGUGAUCCGGUGGUUCCGCAUGGAAGGGCCAUCGCU
rnacentral:rRNA from 1 species